rnacentral:misc_RNA from 1 species
AAAAGUCGUAACAAGGUUUCCGUAGGUGAACCUGCGGAAGGAUCAUUAAAGGGAUAAUUGGGGGCUCCGUCCCCCUACCUCCCACCCAUGAAUACUUUAGGGGCCCAGCGCCCGAACCUUUACUUCGGCGGAUAUUUCCGCCGAACAACCCAAAACUCUAUUUCAACGUUGUCGUCUGAUUGUGGGAAUUUGAAUAAAUCAAAACUUUCAACAACGGAUCUCUUGGUUCUG